AACAAAGAACUUGUGGACGCCGGAAUUAUGCUAGUUUUAGUAGCAACUUAGUGAAAGUGCUGUAAUAGACCUAGACUUAAAAUGCUGAAGUGGGCGGAAAUAUAAGACUGCUUUCGGAAUUUAGCACUUGGUGCUAUCAAACUGCGCAACCUUUCUGCAACUAAUGCGCCAAUUGAAAAAACUUCUUUCCUAGUUACUCUGUUCAAAGAUGGCCCCAGAAAUCGCGUUGGCCUGCCGCUCCUGUCAAGUUUGAUGGGUAUGCGUUCAGGAUCAACACGGAAUAGACGGACUUCAGCAACAUCCCGUCCUCCUUGACAGUUAUUGGAGAAAUCUGACUCAACCAUGUACUGAUUUCUGAUCUCAAGGGGGUGUUUUAGUUCAGGAGAGGACUAAAGUUGUGCAUUCCAGCCCACAGUCUACUCUGCAUCAAGGCUGCAAAACUCUGGGAUAUGUUUGGCCCAUUCCACCAGCAGGAGGAGCUGUUGCUUCAUCGAUUCAAACACGUCUCCCACACAGGCUGUUUUCUUGGUGCUGAUAUCAUGACUCUGAGAUGCUUAACUCCCCAGGAUACGGAGGAAAAGUUAAUCUCCAGCAAUCAAAGUACACCCUGGACAGGUUGACAGCCCAUCACAGGUCUAGUACAGAGACGUACAAAAAAGAUGUGAAAGAUGUGCAUUAUCCACUGUGGACACAGGAGGAACAGACUCAUCCCACAGAGUCCGCAUGCGUAAAAGCAUGGAACAGUGUCCCCUGUUACCUCUGACAGCUCACUUCUACCUGUGCCCUUUACAAUCACAGCAAAGCAAAGGGAGGAAGCAUGCUAAAACCUCUUGUGCACAAUGUCACGUUUAUCUGUCAAGGUUGUGAUUAGCAUGAACUACGAUCUGGUAUCCACACGCAGAGUCAUGGCCGUGCAACACUCACUCCUGUCUUCCUGUCUUUUAUGCAAAGCACCUCCAAUGUUCAUGCACUAACUCUCCCUCCAUCACUCUUCUUAGUUCGUCACGCAGUCAACAAAGGAAAUCAACUGUUUGGUUCCCCUGCUCUCUGUCAGUAUUUAUUCUAAUGUUGUCUAGCGUUACAGAAGCUCAUGAAGAGUUCUGAUAAAUUAACGGUUGUAUUGUUCAGCUGCCAUAGUCGUUCUUGAUCAGUACACCAAUUAUAGAGGGCAAUUUUCUUACUCGCCCGUUUUCUUCCAUAUGUUCCCAACAAAAGAAGGUUUCUGCAGGGUGGAUCAAGUUGACACAUGGUGACAGAUUCUUUUUUAAAUCUUUUUUUUCCUAAUAAUAUUUCAGUGUUAUGAUGGCACCUACUGUAUUUUUAUAAAUGCUUCCCCCCCUUUUUUCUUCUCGGUAAAGCACAAAAUACAGCUCAUCUGAUUCAAUUGAAAAUGUCACCCAAGAAUCUUUAACCUGAAUAGAAUAGUUUUGACUCUCCUUAUGAGAUGUGACAGAUGAGGACGCAGCCUGUCUUUAUUUGUAUAGAUGUAGUCAGACAAGUAAGCCUAUGCCUAACUAGUGCAAGUCUAAAAAUCAGUAAAUAAACUAAGAUGGUUGAAGGCAGGUGAAGGGGAACCUUUGCUUUUUUCAUAAACAAUAUAUGAGGGGCUUUUUGCAAGUCAAAUCCUUAAAGAUUUACUCCUAGCUGUGCUCUCAGUGCUUUUUAAAGAGCGAAAGCGCAUGCAUCUAAAAUGGGGAGGAAGCGUAGAGGGGGCAAGUAAACAGAAGGAGGAUGCACUAAAUAAGAAUCACUGAGUAAUAUGAAAAUUGAAGGAGUUGGACAAUAUUGUGUCCCCCUUUAAAUUUUAUUUUUAGUAUGAACCAAAAUAUGUUUCUAUCUGCUGCCGUCACUCUGAGCUUGCUGAAUACUGUGACGACAAUACCGUUCCAGGCGCAGUCUCUGCAGCCCAGUCAGUCAGACAGACAGUGACCAGUAAUUAAGAGGUUUGGUUUCCCACUGCAUGUUAUUGCCUUAAUAGUCUCCAGGGUAAGAUGCUUUUUGACUGCUGGUUGUGCAGUGACCUGUACACAUCAAGCUUUUCUCUGCUUAUUGGGUUGUCUUCUUUCCACACUAAUGGCCAUAGGGGGCUGCGUCCAGGCUUCACCUGACCACCGCUCACAAAGCUGGGUCUCUGGAACCGACAGGCGGAACGGAAAUCACAUUAACCCGACUCAAACCAACAAUAAAAUCCUACAUUCUCUUGCGCUAUAUUCUAAACAAAAACAGGAGAGUGUCUCUGUUUUCCCCUUUCAUCAGCAGCAUGUGUCAGUUCGACUCAUUGUUGUUUACUGGUGCUUCACGGAGGCCGUCUGCCACCCACACCUCCUUUCCGAGGGCACUCGACAAGCACCUUGUGAGAACACAACUGGGGUUGAAGAUCUAUAACACAGAGAGGGUGAUUCAGGGGGUUGACCUCUCUCUAGCCAACACACGUUAAUUUUGUCUUAAAAGGCGUAUAAUUAAACAAGCUUGUUACCAGUUGAUUUCAAAUCUCUAAUUCAGUUUUUUUUUUUUAUUCAAACACUCUGAUGGCUGUUUCCAUGACUGGAAGAAUCUAGGCCACUGCAGUCCAGCACAUCACAUCAUGCCUGUAAGGCUUAAAGGCAAGAAAUUGAAGGUGAAUUAAAGCUAAAUUAGUUAUCACAGCAGCAAGAUUUUUUUUUUUUUAAGAUUGUGCUUGUUUUUUUUUUUUGUUUUUUUUGAGGUGAGUCUCCAUGUCUCUCAUCUUUCAUCUGUGUGCGCAGCUCUGUGUCCAGAAGGCAUAUAGACUCAUUUCUUUUCUCCCCUUUACAUUGCACCUCAUCAUAAACUCCCCCCCACACGGACAAUACUGUGGAGAAUAAAUCGACAAUAUUUCACCGCUGAUGCUCCCUGCCCACUCUCAGUCCUUUAAAGGGGGGUGUGCAGAUGCACUGGCAGUUUGUUGUUUUUAUUUAAUGUGCUGCUACUUCUAUGUCAUAUUUUCUCUCUUUAAUUGAUGCCAUGCCCGUGUUGUUGCCUAUUGCACCAUUGAGAGGAUGCUUUCUCCUAGCAGGCCCUUAUCUUUCUCUAAUAGGCCUGGCACUCCUCUGAGGCCUUCAGCUGUGUCAGGCCACUGCUGCCUCACCGCACCUCCGGUUUGAGCUGUUGCCGUGCUGCCCAUUAGUUUUCUCUCCAGACCUUUCUAUUCCCUGCGCUCAUCCCUCUGCCACCUCGACCCUACCCCACAGCUUUCCCAUCCUCAUCUUUUACCUCUGCCUGCUCUGCUAUCUCCUGUCUACCCCACAGUGUUUCAUCAAGUCUAAUAUGAGCUUUCACAAUAACUAUUUUCCCUUUUACUUUCGCUCUGGCCCACAGGGUUAGGCGCAAAAAUUAAUUGUUUUUGAAUAUUUGGUUAGCGGGUAUGCAGUCGAUUGACAGCAUUAGGAAUCAGAUGUGAUGUGUUCAGAAGUGUAAUAAAGCACUAAAAAUAUUUAAUGGCCAACAUUAGACAACAGGUUGUGGAAGUUAAAAGUUAAUUAAUGAAAUUAAUUACGUAAUCUGGGAAAAUUCGAUUUCUGAAAAUAUUUAUACAAUAAACAAUACUAGUUUAUAUUUAGGGAAUGCAGAAGACUUAAUAGAGAAACUCAUCACAUAGCAGUAAAUGUCCCUAUUCAAUUAUAUUUAUUUUGUAUUAUCAGUCUCAUUAAUCCAAAUAAUCUGAAAUCAAUGAAAGUAGUACAUUUAUUUAAAUUUAAAUUCAAAAGGAGGAACUAAGACAUCCAUCAGUUCUGAGAAGAGUACACCAGAGGUCGUGUUAAUGGGCUACAUCACUUUCAACUAGGAUUUCA